rnacentral:rRNA from 1 species
UAAGACAGAGGGGGCGAGCGUUGUCCGAAGUUACUGGGCGUAAAGGGCGCGGAGGCGGUCUGCGGCGUCGGCGCUGAAAGCGCCCCGCUUAACGGGGCGAGGCGCGCCGAUACGCGCAGGCUGGAGGCAAGCAGAGGGCGGCGGAAUUCCGGGUGGAGCGGUGAAAUGCGUAGAGAUCGGCAGGAAGACCAAGGGGGAAGCCAGGGGGCUGGCCGCGAGCUGACGCUGAGGCGCGACGGCGUGGGGAGCCAACCGGAUUAGAUACCCGGGUAGUCCACGCCGUAAACGAUGACCACUCGGCGUGUGGCGACUAUUGACGUCGCGGCGCGCCCAAGCUCACGCGAUAAGUGGUCCGCCUGGGAACUACGAGCGCAAGCUUA